rnacentral:sRNA from 1 species
UAGCCAAUAUGUUGGUCCAGUACAAACUUCAGCCUGGCCAUAUAGAACCUACUUUUAGUCCACGGAAUAUACCCAUUUUUGUAAUUAAGAAAAAGUCUGGUAAAUGGAGGUUACUGCAGGGUCUCAGGGCACCCAAUCAUGUCUUAGAACCCAUGGGAGCUUUACAACCAGGGCUCCCUUCUCUUACAGCCAUUCCUCUCCAUUGUCAUUGAAUGGUGCUAGAUGUAAAUGAUUGCUUUUUUUCACUAUACCUUUAUGUCCAGAUGAUUGUCAAAAAUUGCUUUUAG